rnacentral:rRNA from 1 species
CACGGGGGUUGCGAGCGUUGUCCGGAAUUACUAGGCGUAAAGGGCAGGCAGGCGGAUCCAUAAGUUUAUCGUUUAAGGCGUCGGCUUAACCGGCGUAGGGCGGUAGAUACUGUGGAUCUGGAAUGCGGUUGGGGAAGACAGAAUUCCUGGUGUAGCUGUGGAAUGCGCAGAGAUCAGGAGGAAUACCGAAGGCGAAGGCAGUCUUCCAAGCCGUUAUUGACGCUCAACUGCGAAGGUGUGGGUAUCAAACAGGAUUAGAUACCCUGGUAGUCCCU